rnacentral:rRNA from 1 species
UGGGAAUAUUGCACAAUGGGCGGAAGCCUGAUGCAGCAACGCCGCGUGCGGGAUGACGGCCUUCGGGUUGUAAACCGCUUUCGCCUGUGACGAAGCGUGAGUGACGGUAAUGGGUAAAGAAGCACCGGCUAACUACGUGCCAGCAGCCGCGGUGAUACGUAGGGUGCGAGCGUUGUCCGGAUUUAUUGGGCGUAAAGGGCUCGUAGGUGGUUGAUCGCGUCGGAAGUGUAAUCUUGGGGCUUAACCCUGAGCGUGCUUUCGAUACGGGUUGACUUGAGGAAGGUAGGGGAGAAUGGAAUUCCUGGUGGAGCGGUGGAAUGCACAGAUAUCAGGAGGAACACCAGUGGCGAAGGCGGUUCUCUGGGCCUUUCCUGACGCUGAGGAGCGAAAGCGUGGGGAGCGAACAGGCUUAGAUACCCUGGUAGUCCACGCUGUAAACGGUGGGUACUAGGUGUGGGGUCCAUUCCACGGGUUCCGUGCCGUAGCUAACGCUUUAAGUACCCCGCCUGGGGAGUACGGCCGCAAGGCUA